CCCUUAGAUGUUCUGGGCCGCACGCGCGCUACACUGAUGCAUUCAACGAGCCUAUCCUUGACCGACAGGUCCGGGUAAUCUUUGAAUCUGCAUCGUGACGGGGAUAGAUUAUUGCAAUUAUUAAUCUUCAACGAGGAAUGCCUAGUAGGCGCAAGUCAUCAGCUUGCGUCGAUUACGUCCCUGCCCUUUGCACACACCGCCCGUCGCUCCUACCGAUUGGGUGUGCUGGUGAAAUGUUCGGAUCGGCCGUUUGUCGCGGUUUCCGCGUCAUGUGGCUGAGAAGUUCAUUAAACCCUCCCACCGAGAGGAAGGAGAAGUCGUAACA
rnacentral:rRNA from 1 species